AGCAGGCAGGACAUGGACUUGUUUAGUUAAUGGUGAUUGUGGUCAGCUCUUCUUUUUCAUGUGUGAGUAAAUGAUUGGUCAUAGGAAAGAGCUGGGAAUUUACUUCCAUUUACUACAGCCAGCUGAAGACAGAUGUUUUCUGAGCUGAAGAAGAUGAACUUUUGUAUUGCAGCUUGCAAGAAUUGAUUAUACACAGGAGCUGAGUAAAUUCAGUCGUUGCCUAGUGCUGGAGGAAGAGGAAUGCAAGUGAAGAUCCUGUUGUUGUCAGUCAAGUUGAAUAAAAAAUGGUUUCUUCUGGAGGAAUUUAUAUGAUGUCUGAAGUACCAUGGUAUUACUUUGUGUAUUAAGAAUGCAAUGAUAAUAGGUUUGCUCUAAAUCUGUGUUUUCUAGUUUUCACUGGCAAAGAAAUAAUCUAAUUCAAGGGUCUAAUUCAAAAGUCCAAUUUGUAUCUUACAUUGUGUGUGUUAGCUGUGCAUCUGUGCUGGCUUGCCUUGAAAGAGCUGCUCUUAUUGGGGAAAACAUGGGUAAGCUGUGAGUGCACUUUCUUGCUGCUCUUUGCUGUUCCAGGGUUUCCAAAAGGUUUCCACACUGGAGAUGGUGUGUGCCAGAGACUGAAAUGUUUGGUAGCUUCAACAUUGUUAAGAUCACCAAAAGACUUUUGUCCACUGUACCAAACUGCAAAGAAACAGCUGCUCAUGCACAUCCUUCCAGGAAUAUGCCUCCUAAUUUGGACUGCAAAGGGACCUUGAGAUAACAUAAGGGGAGUACUAUUGCCCAACUAUUCCAGGUGCAUACCCGAAUCUACAAACUGGAUUUCCAGAUAAGGGGAGAGGCAGACCC